UAAUAAUUUGCCUUAUAAUUUGAGGCUAGAAUGAAUGGUUUGACGAAGGUUAAUCUGUCUCUGCUUUAUUUUUUAGAAUUUAAUUUUUAUAGUGAAAAAGCUUGUAUUUUUUAAAGGGACGAGAAGACCCUAAUGAGCUUAUAAUUUUAUUACUGGGUGAUUAUUUAUAUAAUUAAGGGUGUAUAAAUUUUAAUUGGGGUGAUUAAGGAAUAAUGUAGUUAGUAACUUCCUUAUAGAAAAUUUUGGUAGAUAAAGUAACCAAUAAAAUAUUGCUUAUAAUAUAGUUACCAUAGGGAUAACAGCGUAAUUUGUUUAGAGAGUUCUUAUUGAAAAACAAGAUUGCGACCUCGAUGUUGGAUUAAAGUAACCUUAAGGUGUAGAAGCUU
rnacentral:rRNA from 1 species